rnacentral:rRNA from 1 species
AUUGAACGCUGGCGGCAUGCCUUACACAUGCAAGUCGAACGGUAACAGGUCUUCGGAUGCUGACGAGUGGCGAACGGGUGAGUAAUACAUCGGAACGUGCCCGAUCGUGGGGGAUAACGAGGCGAAAGCUUUGCUAAUACCGCAUACGAUCUACGGAUGAAAGCGGGGGAUCUUCGGACCUCGCGCGGACGGAGCGGCCGAUGGCAGAUUAGGUAGUUGGUGGGAUAAAAGCUUACCAAGCCGACGAUCUGUAGCUGGUCUGAGAGGAUGAUCAGCCGCACUGGGACUGAGACACGGCCCAGACUCCUACGGGAGGCAGCAGUGGGGAAUUUUGGACAAUGGGCGAAAGCCUGAUCCAGCCAUGCCGCGUGCAGGAUGAAGGCCUUCGGGUUGUAAACUGCUUUUGUACGGAACGAAAAGCCUCUUUCUAAUAAAGAGGGGUCAUGACGGUACCGUAAGAAUAAGCACCGGCUAACUACGUG